rnacentral:lncRNA from 1 species
GCGCAGGAGAGAGAAGAAAUAAAUAAUGAGAGAGAAAAAGGUAAGAGAGAGGUAGUUAUAAUGAUGUUGUAAUGGAAAGAGAAGAGAAAUAGGAGAGAGAGAGAAAGAUAUGUCAGUAAUAGCAGAGGAGAGAGAAGAAAAAUUAACACCGUUACACCUUAGUUAACGGAAGGGACCUAUUGCAAGCAAAAUAAAAAACCUGAGGACCUAAUUAAAUCACUUUUAAAACCGGGUAUCAAACGGAAAUUUAG